GUAAGGAAUAUUGGUCAAUGGGGGCAACCCUGAACCAGCCAUGCCGCGUGAAGGAUGAAGGCGUUAUGCGUUGUAAACUUCUUUUGUAUGGGAAGAAUGACAGGGAUUUAUCCUUGGAGAGACGGUACCAUACUAAUAAGCACCGGCUAACUCCGUGCCAGCAGCCGCGGUAAUACGGAGGGUGCAAGCGUUAUCCGGAAUCAUUGGGUUUAAAGGGUCCGCAGGCGGGCUAUCAAGUCAGAGGUGAAAUCCCACAGCUUAACUGUGGAACUGCCUUUGAAACUGAUGGUCUUGAAUUAAGUGGGCGUUGGCGGAAUAUGACAUGUAGCGGUGAAAUGCAUAGAUAUGUCAUGGAACACCGAAAGCGAAGGCAGCUAACGAUACUUAUAUUGACGCUCAUGGACGAAAGCGUGGGUAGCGAACAGGAUUAGAAACCCCAGUAGUCC
rnacentral:rRNA from 1 species